rnacentral:rRNA from 1 species
CCAAUAGCGUAUAUUAAAGUUGUUGCAGUUAAAAAGCUCGUAGUUGAAUUUUAGGCUUGGCCGGGCGGUCCGUCUUUGGCGAGUACUGUCCUGUGUCGGGUCUUCCUUCUGGUGAACCAGUAUGUCCUUUAUUGGGUGUGCUGGGGAGCCAGGACCAUUACCUUGAAAAAAUUAGAGUGUUUAAAGCGGGCUAUUGCUUGAAUAGAUUAGCAUGGAAUAAUAGAAUAGGACGUUGUGGUUCUAUUUUGUUGGUUUCUAGGACCACCGUAAUGAUUAAUAGGGAUAGUUGGGGGCAUUAGUAUUCAAUUGUCAGAGGUGAAAUUCUUGGAUUUAUUGAAGACUAACUACUGCGAAAGCAUUUGCCAAGGAUGUUUUCAUUAAUCAAGAACGAAAGUUAGGGGAUCGAAGACGAUCAGAUACCGUCGUAGUCUUAACCAUAAACUAUGCCGACUAGGAAUCGGGCGACGUUAUUUUAAUGACUCGCUCGGCGCCUUAUG